AGUGAGCAAAAAGGCUUAUAUUAUUCACUGGAGUUGCUAUUUAGAUAUUUAAUAAUUAAGUUUUGGGCAUAUUUGUCCACCCGUUCAGUUUUUCAAAUUAUCUAUUAAAUCAGUAAUUAAUUUCGUCAGGAUAACUACCAAAUAUGGUAAUGGCCCUCGGCUAAACACAGAGCCAAUCCGCCAUUUUUUCAUCUCGCUAAGAUUUUUUGUAGUCCUAUUGGAAAAAUGCAGAAUGUCUGGUUAUUUUAGCCACACACAGCUCAAAACUGUUCCUCGUUUUAAGGAAGGGUGGUGUGGCAGUAUUUAAACCCAGGAGCUGAUGACACUACUGCUAAAAAAAAAACAGAAGAAAAAGUAGUAUGUGUGUGUGUGUGUGUGUGUGUGUGUGUGUGUGUGUGUGUGUGUGUGUGUGUGCGCGCGCGCGCGCGCGCGUGGUUCGUUCGUGUCUCCUGGCUAGUAAGUACCGAGGGCUUCAUCUAUCUAAAAGGAGUCAUUCCCAUCUGAAUGUGGUAGCACCGGGACACAGCAGCAGAGCGAGUCCACAUCCAGAAGUCUGGAGCCGUGUUUCACUGACAGGCUGUCAGACUAACGCCCUGAUGAGCUCAGCUGGGACAAACUGGUCUGAUGUUUAGGAACACAGAACACUCAGAUGUUGGAGCUCACGUCACCUACUGAGGAAGGAGACCCACCAGUAAAGAGACGGUCUGGACCAGACCAAAAAUAUGGCGAUGACAUCAUGGAACUGGUCUUUGGAAAAGUUUUCCCUGAACCAACUCCGUUUCUAGAUGAGGUAGAGAAGAUCUGCAUCUCACCAACCCUCUGGUCUCAGUAUUCAGACAACGGAGGUCUCCCACUGUUAUCCAGGACCAGUUUGAAGCCCACAUACUUCCCCUCCCUCAUCAUCAGGAAACAUCAAUCCGUAUCCUGAGGACAACAGAAGACGGCAGGAGGACAGGAACUCUGAGACCUAGAUACCACCAGCACCGGGACACAAAGCACCUGUGUGCACAACGCCUGUUUAACUACUAAAGCCAGUUUAUUAUAUAGUUCUACUUAUUUGCUGUGAGGUUAAUACUUAGAAAAUUUGUAUAUUAAUGUAAACAAUUUAAAAAAUCACUGAUUGUAUGUUUUCUUUUAGAUGUAAUGGUCCAAACUCAGCCUUGUAGACAUUUAUUGCAUCCUGUAGGUAAAUACACAGAACAGGCUCAGAUCCAGGAUGACCCAGCAUGCUCUUCUUCCAUUCUGGCUGUUAGGGAUUGUAUCAAUAACUCAAUGCCUACUGAUGUUUCCACCUAACGGUAUUUAUUUAGAAUGCAGGUAAGAUUUAACUAUAUUUGUUAGCAAAGCAGACUGAUCUUGGGAAUUUCACUGCAGCACUGAUGUCCACCUCUCUGUACACAUUAGAGAGAAUUACCACUUUACAGCUAAACACAUUUAAUAAAGAUAUAGGCUACGCAUUGCAGACAAUAAAAACAAAGUUCUAAGCAUUAGAAUUAUAAUGAUCACAUUAAAGAACAUUUGGAGGAAUGUUCUUUAUUUUUGACUAGAAUCUCAAAUCUUUAAAUUAAAAUGUAACUGCUUUUUAUCCAUUUUCAGCCAUUAAGACACCCAAUAUUAAAUAAGACUACUUAUAAAAUUAUUUAUAAUUAUAUGUAUGUAUAUAUAUAUAGAUAGAGAUCUUAAUAAAAUAUAUUUUAAUGGUGUUUUAAUGAGCUGUAUCAUUUUUUAAAACAUUUUUUAUAGAAAUAAAUAAGCAAGCAGCAUUCCUUGUGUGUGUGCGCGUGCGCGAGCCUGCUCGCUUGUCUCGUCGGCCGUGACGGAUGUGUGUGUGUGUGUGCGCGCACGUGCCUGCUCACUUGUCCCUCCGUCGGCCGUGACGGGUGUGUGUGAGUGACUACAGACAAAUGCAUGAGAGAGUUAGCAGCCUUGAAACAGCUUGAUGAACUACUCUCCCCACAUGUUUUAAAAAUGCUAAUAUGCUAUGCUAAAUCUGCUAUGCUAAAUAAUGAUUUCUCUAUAGAACUACAAAGUCCGGCUGGGGGAGGAGAGUACAGGUCUGCACUAUGGAGGGGGGCGGAGUUUACAGCUCCUCCUCCAGUUUAAAGAGACAGUACCCAAAAACGGCUCGUUCUCAAGACUCUCCUCAGAACAGGGGUAGAUGAGGGUCUGUAGAGCAACAAUAAUGAGGAAAUCAGACCAAAGAACUGCAGUUCCACUGUUUUUAGACCCCCAACUGAAGGAUUUAGAUGUAAAAAGGAAUAACUUAAAAGCAUGUUAUGUCUCCUUUA